AUUGAACGCUGGCGGCAGGCCUAACACAUGCAAGUCGAGCGAGCGGCAGACGGGUGCGUAAUGUAUGGGGCCUGCCCGCUAGAGGGGGAUAACUACUGGAAACGGUGGCUAAUACCGCAUACUAUCGGAUAACCCAUAUGGGCUUAGCUAGUAGGUAGGGUAAAGGCUCACCUCGUCGACGAUGUCUAGCUGGUGUGAGAGGAUGAUCAGCGAAACUGGUAAUGUGACGCGGGCGAGACGGCGACGGAGGUAGGAGUGGGGAAUAUUGCACAAUGUGCGCAAGCCUGAUGCAGCCAUGCCGCGGGUAGGAAGAGGGCAGUAGGGUUGUAAAGUACGUUAAGCUGGGAGGGGUUACUCGGAGAAGAAGCACCGGCUAACUCCGUGCCAGCAGCCGCGGUAAUAC
rnacentral:rRNA from 1 species